GGACGAACGCUGGCGGCGUGCUUAACACAUGCAAGUCGAACGCUGAAGCCUAGCUUUUGUUGGGUGGAUGAGUGGCGAACGGGUGAGUAACACGUGAGUAACCUGCCCCCUUCUUUGGGAUAACGCCCGGAAACGGGUGCUAAUACUGGAUAUUCACUGAUCUUCGCAUGGGGGUUGGUGGAAAGGUUUUUUCUGGUGGGGGAUGGGCUCGCGGCCUAUCAGCUUGUUGGUGGGGUGAUGGCCUACCAAGGCUUUGACGGGUAGCCGGCCUGAGAGGGUGACCGGUCACAUUGGGACUGAGAUACGGCCCAGACUCCUACGGGAGGCAGCAGUGGGGAAUAUUGCACAAUGGGCGAAAGCCUGAUGCAGCGACGCCGCGUGAGGGAUGGAGGCCUUCGGGUUGUAAACCUCUUUCGCUCAUGGUCAAGCCGCAACAUUGGUUGUGGUGAGGGUAGUGGGUAAAGAAGCGCCGGCUAACUACGU
rnacentral:rRNA from 1 species